UACGUAGGGUGCAAGCGUUGUCCGGAAUUAUUGGGCGUAAAGAGCUCGUAGGCGGUUUGUCGCGUCUGGUGUGAAAAUCCAGGGCUUAACCCUGGACCUGCAUCGGGUACGGGCAGACUAGAGUGCGGUAGGGGAGAUCGGAAUUCCUGGUGUAACGGUGAAAUGCGCAGAUAUCAGGAGGAACACCGGUGGCGAAGGCGGAUCUCUGGGCCGUAACUGACGCUGAGGAGCGAAAGCAUGGGGAGCGAACAGG
rnacentral:rRNA from 1 species